GAUGAACGCUGGCGGCGUGCCUAAUACAUGCAAGUCGAGCGAACAGACGAGGAGCUUGCUCCUCUGACGUUAGCGGCGGACGGGUGAGUAACACGUGGAUAACCUACCUAUAAGACUGGGAUAACUUCGGGAAACCGGAGCUAAUACCGGAUAAUAUAUUGAACCGCAUGGUUCAAUAGUGAAAGACGGUUUUGCUGUCACUUAUAGAUGGAUCCGCGCCGCAUUAGCUAGUUGGUAAGGUAACGGCUUACCAAGGCGACGAUGCGUAGCCGACCUGAGAGGGUGAUCGGCCACACUGGAACUGAGAAACGGUCCAGACUCCUACGGGAGGCAGCAGUAGGGAAUUUUCCCGAAUUGGCGGAAGCCUGACGGAGCAAAGCCGGGGUGGGUAUGAAGGUCUUUCGAUUGUAAAACCCUGUUAUUAGGGAAGAACAAAUGUGUAAGUAACUAUGCACGUCUUGACGGUACCUAAUCAGAAAGCCACGGCUAACUACGUG
rnacentral:rRNA from 1 species